AUUCAUUGCUCCUGAGUGAAAUAUGAUCAGUCUCUUGAAGGACGCAUAGUCAGUAUUAAACAAACCAGUGAUUACAACGCUCGAUAAUUGUCUCCUUUUCAUACUUAAUCAUGUACAAUUAUCUUCAACAGGAGAUUAGAUCCCAGUGGAGUUCAGAUUGCCCCCAAUCACAAUAACAUUAUUACAGAGUCUCCAGAAAAGGGAGCAACAGGUACAGCAACAUAUUGUUUGAAAUGUAAGCCCUGAAACACGGGUGAAAAGGUGAGGAACAUUUUAACAAUGUAAAGGCCGCC